rnacentral:rRNA from 1 species
UAAUUAACUGGACGUUACCCACAGAAGAAGCACCGGCUAACUCCGUGCCAGCAGCCGCGGUAAUACGGAGGGUGCGAGCGUUAAUCGGAAUUACUGGGCGUAAAGGGUGCGUAGGUGGUUGAUUAAGUUAUCUGUGAAAUUCCUGGGCUUAACCUGGGACGGUCAGAUAAUACUGGUUGACUCGAGUAUGGGAGAGGGUAGUGGAAUUUCCGGUGUAGCGGUGAAAUGCGUAGAGAUCGGAAGGAACACCAGUGGCGAAGGCGGCUACCUGGCCUAAUACUGACACUGAGGCACGAAAGCGUGGGGAGCAAACAGGAUUAGAUACCCUGGUAGUCCACGCUGUAA